rnacentral:tRNA from 1 species
UGCCCUAAUGGAUUGGGUAUUAGCCUUCUAAGCUCAAGGAUGUGGGUUCAAGUCCCAC